AACGAACGCUGGCGGCAGGCCUAACACAUGCAAGUCGAGCGGGGACUUCGGUCCUAGCGGCGGACGGGUGAGUAACGCGUGGGAACGUGCCCUUUGCUUCGGAAUAGCCCCUGGAAACGGGAGUAAUACCGGAUGUGCCCUUUGGGGGAAAGAUUUAUCGGCAAAGGAUCGGCCCGCGUUGGAUUAGGUAGUUGGUGGGGUAAUGGCCUACCAAGCCGACGAUCCAUAGCUGGUUUGAGAGGAUGAUCAGCCACACUGGGACUGAGACACGGCCCAGACUCCUACGGGAGGCAGCAGUGGGGAAUCUUAGACAAUGGGGGAAACCCUGAUCUAGCCAUGCCGCGUGAGCGAUGAAGGCCUUAGGGUUGUAAAGCUCUUUCGUGGGGGGAAGAUAAUGACGGUACCCAAGAAGAAGCCCCGGCUAACUCCGUGCCAGCAGCCGCGGUAAU
rnacentral:rRNA from 1 species